CGCAGCCGCGGUAAUUCCAGCUCCAAUAGCGUAUAUUAAAGUUGUUGCAGUUAAAAAGCUCGUAGUUGAAUUUCGGGAUCAAUAUGUCGGUCGUGCCUUGGUACGUACUGGUAUCAUUGGUCUCUCCUUUCUGACGAACCAUGAUGUCAUUAAUUUGGUGUUAUGGGAAGUUAGGACUGUUACUUUGAAAAAAUUAGAGUGUUUAAAGCAGGCUUUAGCUUGAAUACAUUAGCAUGGAAUAAUGAAAUAGGACGUUCGAACCUAUUUUGUUGGUUCUAGGAUCAACGUAAUGAUUAAUAGGGAUAGUUGGGGGCAUUAGUAUUCAAUUGUCAGAGGUGAAAUUCUUGGAUUUAUUGAAGACUAACUACUGCGAAAGCAUUUGCCAAGGAUGUUUUCAUUAAUCAAGAACGAAAGUUAGGGAUCGAAGACGAUCAGACACCGUCGUAGUCUUAACCAUAAACUAUGCCGACUAGGGAUCGGAUGAUGUUAAUUUUUUAAUGACUCAUUCGGCGCCUUACGG
rnacentral:misc_RNA from 2 species